rnacentral:rRNA from 1 species
AUACGUAGGUGGCGAGCGUUAUCCGGAAUUACUGGGUGUAAAGGGCGCGUAGGCGGGCGUGCAAGUUAGAUGUGAAAACCUGGGGCUCAACUCCAGACUGGCAUCUAAAACUGCACAUCUUGAGUGUCAGAGGGGAAAGUGGAAUUCCUGGUGGAGCGGUAAAAUGCGUAGAGAUCAGGAGGAACACCGGUGGCGAAGGCGAAUUUCUGGACGAAGACUGGCGCUGCGGCGCGAUAGCCGGUGGAGAAAACGAGCUUAUAUACCUUGCGUGUCCGCGCUGUGAACGAGGGUUACUAGGUGGAGGAGGUAUCGCCCCCUCCUGUGCCUGACUUAACGUGAUAAGUACCCCGGCUGGGGACUACCGUCGUAAGACGAAAACUCAAAGAAAUUGAGUUGG